GGCGAGAAUAGCUCAGUUGGUAGAGCACGACCUUGCCAAGGUCGGGGCCGCGGGUUCAAUUCCCGUUUCUCGCUUUUU
rnacentral:tRNA from 1 species